UAAUACGUAGGGUGCGAGCGUUAAUCGGAAUUACUGGGCGUAAAGCGUGCGCAGGCGGUCCGCAAAGUCUGAUGUGAAAGCCCCGGGCUCAACCUGGGAAUUGCAUUGGAAACUGACGGGCUCGAGUGUGGCAGAGGGGGGUGGAAUUCCACGUGUAGCAGUGAAAUGCGUAGAGAUGUGGAGGAACACCGAUGGCGAAGGCAGCCCCCUGGGCUAACACUGACGCUCAGGCACGAAAGCGUGGGGAGCAAACAGGAUUAGAUACCCUGGUAGUCCACGCCCUAAACUAUGUCAACUGGGUGUUGGGGAAGCGAUUCCUCAGUACCGUAGCUAACGCGUGAAGUUGACCGCCUGGGGAGUACGGCCGCAAGGUUA
rnacentral:rRNA from 1 species